GGAUGGAGUAAGAACGGAAGCUGGGAGAAGAGUUUGGAAACAUCACAGCAGUGUAGGGAAGCAGAUGAAGGCAGCUUGUCCGAUAGUGGUGUUAAUGAAGACGCAGGGGCAUUUGGAUAGAAUCUAAAGAGAAACACAGUACACAGUAACUAACAUAUAAGAGGAGCAUUUGUUCAACCCUCUGACUUCUCUAGUGAAUGGCAAUUAUCAGCAAAAUUUACCAAACUGACAUAGAUGAUACAAGUAAGACAUACCCAUGGAGGUGAAUGGCUCUGCAGAGGUGGGUUUGUCUAUUUUAUGAGACAGGAGCUACAGCCCAUGGUGACUGGCACAGCAGACUAACAAGAAGCAUAUGGAGAGAAAUACUGGUGUACAAGCUGAGCAUUUGACUCUGAUCCCGGAGGCAAUGGGGAUACUACUGAGUGUGAAACAGCAUAAUAUAAAUGUUUAUGGGAAGCCAUCACAGCAGUGGAUUUGGAUUCCAGUUUACACAGAUUUCUCCAGUUUCCUUGAACAGUUCCAGUCCUCACAGGACUCUGAUCACAGGGCCCGGGAGUUAUGAAGAGAAACUGGCAGCACAUUCUUGGUAACUAAUUUCUUCCAACUAUCUAUGACUGAUUCUACCAAGUCAUAGGUCCACUUUGCAGAAAAUGGCUCUGUCUUCAUCAUCCCCACCAAAGAAUGCUACAGGAAGACUCUCACAGAAAUUCAGUUGAUCAUGCAAGAUGAAACCUGCAUGCCUUCCUUGCAUUACACAAUAAAAUUGGAGCGUCACAGACCCCCCACUCUUGAUACAAGAAACACCUGACUUCAGUGAGGACAGAAUUAGAGGAUGAAUUCAGCCUGAUGUGUUCUUCCAUAUGGAAAAACUCAGAUUAUUUCUAUGUCUCUUAGUCGUAUCUACAGGACAUUGGGGCUAUGCAAUGACGCAUCUGGUGAUUCUGGAAGGAGAAUCUGAGCGUCGGAGUCCAGACAGUUUGGUUUGGGAUGAGUUGCCUUUUAGGAAUAAGCGCUCCGUAGCUUUUCCCUCUAGGAAAGGUUCUUUUGCAGGGAGAGAAGGAUCAGAGAGAGGUGAGAAGCAGGUCUUCCCUUGUCCUGACUUGUGCUUAGUCAAGCUGCCUUGAAUGAACUCUUAGGACCAGUAUGGAGAAGCUCACUUGUCUGAGGAUGUGAACUAUGUUCUUCAAUAGUGCCUUAUUCUUCAUUUGCUUUAUCCCAUUGUCUUAUUUCUCAAUUGUUCAGAAAUUUGAUAAAGAUCAGAAUGGUACUAUUAGGCUGUGUCAAAAACCCCAAAAGAUAGCAGCAUACAAAGCACGGAGAACAGCAAGCAGUCAGGGUAACUGUUCUGUUCCACCAAUAAGAAGGACUUAAUUAAAUUGCCCAGAAUGCAAAAGCUGGACAGGUUCUCCUAGGUAAUAUCUAAGCAGACAACUGUUAUUUAUGACAUCUUUCUUCUUGGCACAGGUAAUAGACUGUCCCCAUAGUCCUAAAUUUCCUUAGCCAUACUCUAUUUCUGCUUCCCAAGAGUGAGUGCCAAUCAAUCCCAGAAUAGCUCCUUAUUAUACACUCAGAAUGAAGACUCGUAUAUUUGAUGAAAAUGAAAAUUACACAUUUAAGUUG